UGGGGAAUUUUGGACGAAUGGGCGAAAGCCUGAUCCAGCAAUGCCGCGUGUGUGAAGAAGGCCUUCGGGUUGUAAAGCACUUUUGUCCGGAAAGAAAUCCUUGGCUCUAAUACAGUCGGGGGAUGACGGUACCGGAAGAAUAAGCACCGGCUAACUACGUGCCAGCAGCCGCGGUAAUACGUAGGGUGCAAGCGUUAAUCGGAAUUACUGGGCGUAAAGCGUGCGCAGGCGGUUUGCUAAGACCGAUGUGAAAUCCCCGGGCUCAACCUGGGAACUGCAUUGGUGACUGGCAGGCUAGAGUAUGGCAGAGGGGGGUAGAAUUCCACGUGUAGCAGUGAAAUGCGUAGAGAUGUGGAGGAAUACCGAUGGCGAAGGCAGCCCCCUGGGCCAAUACUGACGCUCAUGCACGAAAGCGUGGGGAGCAAACAGGAUUAGAUACCCUGGUAGUCCACGCCCUAAACGAUGUCAACUAGUUGUUGGGGAUUCAUUUUCUCAGUAACGUAGCUAACGCGUGAAGUUGACCGCCUGGGGAGUACGGUCGCAAGAUUAAAACUCAAAGGAAUUGACGGGGUCAUAGCUGUUU
rnacentral:rRNA from 1 species